AUUGAACGCUGGCGGCAGGCCUAACACAUGCAAGACGAACGAGUGGCGGACGGGUGAGUAAUGUCUGGGAAAAUGCCCGAUGGAGGGGGAUAACUAAUGGAAACGGUAGCUAAUACCGCAUACCAUCGGAUGUGCCCAGAUGUGAUUAGCUAGUAGGGGGGGGAACGGCUCACCUAGGCGACGAUCCCUAGCUGGUAGGAGAGGAUGACCAGCCACACUGGAACUGAGCCACGGUCCAGACUCCUACGGGAGGCAGCAGUGGGGAAUAUUGCACAAUGGGCGCAAUCCUGAUGCAGCCAUGCCGCGUGUAUGAAGAAGGCCUUCGGGUUGUAAAGUACUUUCAGCGGGGAGGCGUUACCCGCAGAAGAAGCACCGGCUAACUCCGUGCCAGCAGCCGCGGUAAUAC
rnacentral:rRNA from 1 species